rnacentral:rRNA from 1 species
AUUGAACGCUGGCGGCGUGCUUAACACAUGCAAGUCGUGCGGUAACAGGCGUAGCAAUACGUGCUGACGAGCGGCGAACGGGUGCGUAAUACAUGGGAAUCUGCCCUUUAGUGGGGAAUAACCCGGCGAAAGCCGGGCUAAUGCCGCAUAAGAUCUUCGGAUGAAAGCGGGGGAUCGUAAGACCUCGCGCUGAUGGAUGAGCCCAUGUCGGAUUAGCUAGNGGUGAGGUAACGGCUCACCAAGGCGACGAUCCGUAGCUGGUCUGAGAGGACGGCCAGCCACACUGGGACUGAGACACGGCCCAGACUCCUACGGGAGCAGCAGUGGGAAUNUUGGACAAUGGGCGAAAGCCUGAUCCAGCGACGCCG